rnacentral:tRNA from 1 species
GGGGUUGUGGCUCAGUGGUAGAGUGCAUGCCAAGCAUAUGUGAGGCACUGGGUUCAAUUCUCAGCACCACA